UUCUUUGCCCGUCCGCCCACAGUCCAUUGUGUGAGUGUACGUGCACACACUGUGUGUGUGUAUAUAUAGAUUUUUUUAAGGAUAGUGGUAGGAGUCUGCGAAGAAAGGGGUCGCGAGGAAGGAAAGAGCCCCUUCAGGAGGAGGCUGCCGUUGUAUGAAUUAGAUGAGGAAACAAGAUGAACAAGAUCUGUUAACUCAGGGAGAGGCAGAGAGAGGAAGGGAGAGAGAGGAAGGGAGAGAGAGGAGAAGUACAAGUGGAAGAGGAAAAAAGAAGGGAGGGGAAGAGAAAAAGAAGGAAGGGCGAACCUGAGGGAAACAAAUGACCAUGGCGGUGCCUAUUGGUAGCAAGGAAGGGCCCAGUCAACUACUGCUGCUGUUUGGGGCUACCGAGGCCCAUUGGUGGAGGGAGGCAGGCAGACACAGGAUGGGCCCGGGCCCGGGCCUGUCAGCGGCCUGAGGGGAGCAAGUGGCCAUGGCAGUGGCAGCAGCCUGGUCAACUGCUGCUGCUACUGCUCCUUUGUGGUGAAGGUGGAGAGAUCUCUGAGGUGAGGGGGCUGUGGCAAGGGGUGAGGGGAGAAAUUAAGUACUAGCACGCAGAUGCUCUCCACGGGUUAAGCUAGUAUACUUUAGCUUAACCCAGACUGUUGCUUUUGGAUUUUUUCUAAUGGUUACCAAUAUUUUUUGUUAUCAUUUUAGAGUCAGUGUUAUAAUGAUUCUAAUGUGAGGCUUGUGUAUGGAAAACCUGGAUUUAGAUUUCUACUCAUCAUAAAGCUUAUUGAAGGGAUCCUCAAACCUGGGUCCACAGAUAUUGUUGUACUACAAGUCCCCUCAUCCCCAAAGGCUGUUGCAGUUGGAGUCAGGAUGAUGCAAGUUGUAGUCCAGUAACUUUUAUUUAUAUGUAUUUAAAUAUUGGAGAACAACUGUCAGUAAACACUGGCUCAGUUCACUAGGGUUCUUUCCCUAUUGCUUUUCGUUACAGCUCAACAAUAUUAUCCAUACACUUGAAAGGAGGUGGGUGUUUUGUAUUUAAAUAUUGGAGAAUGACUUUCAUUAAACACUGGUUUAGUUCAGUGGGGUUCUAAUAGUGUUCUAUGGAAUUGGUUCCCCCCACCAGAUCCUAUCGUGGAGAUGCCAGGGAGGGAACCUGGAACCCAAAUGAUCUUCCCAGAGCAGCUCCACCCCCUAAGGGGAAUGUCUUAUAGUGCUCACACAUCAAGUCUCCCAUUCAUAUACAACCAGGGCAGACCCUGCUUAGCUAAGUGGAUAAGUCAUGCUUGCUACCACAAGACCAGCUCUUCUCUCCUUAUGGGGAAUGUAGUCAUGUGACAUACCACUUUUCUCAAAAUCAGUUUCUUCCAAAUAUGUAUAGGUGAGAGAACGAAAGUGCAAGUACUUUAUUUGAAAUGCUUUUAUUAUCUAUCUUUCAGAUUUUCAUUAAAGGUUGGAGACAGAUUUUCCUUGAAUCCAGUACUACUUAAGUAUAACAAAAUCAUAUCAUUAAGGACCUUAGAAAUUACAGCACUACAUUAUAAACUGCUUCGUCUGUUAUAUAGUAAUACUUCAUACAUAUAAGCUGCUCCAAAUUUGCUGCUCUUGUAAGGAAGGUAAAAUACUACAAAACAUUUUUACAUAGCAAAAGCCUAUAACUCUUAAUGCAUCCAAGUUCUACUUGGUGAUUGUUCAGAUAGUAUUAUGUCUUAAUGGAUUCCUUUUUAAAGUACUAGAUUGUGAUUAAUUGCAGUGCAUGAUUAUGUACAUGAAAAGGAUUGGUCUGAACUUUUGCCCUAACCAUACAUGAGGGUAACAGGGAAGUUAUAAAAAGGUGAUGAUUCCAUCAUCUUAUUGAAAUAAAAUGGUGACAUCUUAGUAGACACAAACAAUGCUGUGUGUGUUAAAUGAAUACCACUUUACUGCUUAGUAGAAGGAAUGCAACUCAUAUUACAACUGUUGAAAUAAGAGCCUACCGAUCUCUGACAACUUUAAAAAAAUCAGACAAGACACAUCUGUUCACCCCAGCUUAUUAAUUAGAUUCACUGUUUGGGCGGUAUAGAAAUCUGUAGUUGUUGUUAUUAUUAUUAUUAUUAUUAUUUCAGAAAGAAACUGAGGGUUUAAUACUGGCUGCACAAGAACAAGCACUAAGAACAAAUGCAAUAACAGCAAAAGUAGAAAAGUCAACAACAGCAAGUGCUGCCUUUGUAAAGAAGCAGAUGAAACAGUGGACCACCUAAUCAGCUGUUGUAAAAAGAUCACACAGACUGACUACAAACAAAGGCAUGACAAGGUAGCAGGGAUGAUACACUGGAACAUCUGCAAAAAAUACAAGCUACCUGUAGCCAAAAAUUGGUGGGACCAUAAAAUUGAAAAAGUUGUUGAAAAUGAAGAUGCAAAAAUAUUAUGUGACUUCUGACUACAAACAGACAAACAUCUGUCACACAAUAAACCAGAUAUAACUGUAGUCGAGAAGAAAGAAAAACAUGUUAAAAUAAUUGACAUAGCAAUACCAGGGGACAGCAGAAUAAAAGAAAAAGAAAUAGAAAAAACAACAAAAUAUAAAGAUCUACAAAUUGAAAGGCUGUGGCAGAAGAAGACCAAAAUAAUCCCAGUGGUAAUUGGCACCCUAGGUGCAAUUCCAAAACAACUUGAAGAGCACCCUCAACACCAUAGGGGCCACAGAAAUCACCAUCAGCCAAUUACAAAAAAGCAACUUUACUGGGAACAGCCUAUAUUCUGCAACGAUAUCUAUAACAACAGCAACAAUAUUGAUAAUAAAAUUCAGCCAUCCCAGGUCCUUGGGAAGGACUCGAUGUCUGGAUAAAACAAACCAGUCAAUAACACCUGUCUGACUGUGUAAAUAAAUAAUAAUAAUGUACAAAAAAUGAAAGAUGUAUGAAGGGGAAAAUAUUUGUUUUACUGUUAACCCUGGGAAUAUUUGUGCCUAGAUUCAGCAGAAAAACCAGUGUGGUGUAAUGGCUAGGAUGCUGCAUUUGUACAUGUGGGAAAAGGUUUCAAUCCAUGCACGUCUACUGAUUUCAUUAAGUGCGUUUGACCAUCACCAUCUCAUAAGGAUGGAUACAGGAGGAUGCAGCAAUUUGCUAUUGACAAGCACUAAAGGAGCAGGUCAUUUCACAAGUAUAGUGUGGACAAAGGUGAACUGGGCAACUGAUGAAAAACUGUGGCCAAGGCGAAAUAGCAAUCUCCGAGCCAAACAGUAAUAAAGUUACUGAAAUGAAGCAAGGCAGCUUUUCAAGUGAACUGUCAUAAGUAGGAAAUGGGCUUCAAACUAAUUAAAACCAGUGCUGAACCAACCAUUAGGCUAAGCAUGCUAUAGAGUGGGGCCACUUGCUAAAGGCUACAAGUAUCUAACAGCACUUGUCAGCAGUUUAAUUCCAAUUCUGGGAUGAAGGAUGAUAGCCUUAUUACUGGUAUAUUCCAGAGGAAGUACAGUGCAGCAACAAGAUAUGAUGACCUACAGUCCAAUCUUCGCUCAUGAAUUGGGGAGCAACAAGAAAAAUAGGAGCAGAUUCACCAAUAGAAUGAAAGAUCCGCAGAAUGUAUCUGUCACACAAACAAUGAGUGGUAGGGCCUCUACGACAUAAUAUUAAUGCUUAGGGACUCUACAAUAUCAUAAGAAGAUCUAACGCAGGUGUAACUUCUUCCAUAAAUUCCGCAUGUUUGCACCUGACCAAUUUCUGCCUCCUACAAUUAUGAGCCCUGUUUUGUAAUGAAUCAAGGAAUUCUCCCGUCAUCAUGAACAUUCACAUUUGCCCUGUUCCAAAAAAUGAACUAGUGCAGUGCACUGGUCUCAGCCCCAUGUGCUAGCAUGCUAAUCUGCGAUGAUGCAGAGUGCAAGACCAACACAGUUGUGGAUGGUUGAACUGUGUGCACACACCCACACAGAGAGUCAAAUCUCAGGCUAUGCUAGAGCACAAAAUGGCUUAUAUAAUUAUUUUUUAAUUAUACCCCACCUUUUAUUAAAGUUACAAGGCAAUACGUGAUCAUCUUUUUCUGGUUCCUCUUAUGGCAGAAAAGACUCAAGAGUACAUAGACAGGCAUCCCAAUGCCAAUUAAGAGCCAAAAGGCACACAGACCAGAAGUAGUGCUUCAAGCCCCCUUUCAGAUCAUAUGCUACUAUAUGCAAUGGCAGGACAAUAUUCACGUGGUCAACUCUCAUGCCUUUGAUCAAAUCUGAAAGGUUAGGACAAGGCAAGAGUGAGACAGUUCCCAUAUGUUUUUUAACAGGCUGAUGUCAAGGUUGAUGUGCAAUGUCAAUGUUAUUUUUCUCAGAUGAAAUGUGGUACUUGACAAUACUGGCUGUACGAAAACAUUUACAGCAAUGUGGAGAGUAAGCAUGGUGACAUCUUAUGUCUCAGAAUGGCCCAUUAGUAACAGAGUAUUAGCUUCCAUAACCUGGUUGCCUAUUACGAAAGCCUAAAGUUUCUAUUCAUAUACAAACACAUCCGUCUAAAAAACAAAAAGCUCAAAUGCAAAUGCCCUCCUCCCCACUUACUAAUAAGCUUCGUUAAUGAAUCCUUCCUGUCCCAGGAAUUUAAGAUAUAGUUAUUAUGUCUCUUUAGGUGGGGAGGCUUCUUGUUUCCUUGAAGAAAAGAGUUUAGUUACCAUAACUAAUGUACAUUACCAGUUUUAGAAUUCUAAUUGAGUUUAAUACUGUUUCAUGUUGCAUCAAAGUACAAAAUCAAUACCAUUUGUCCAGCAUACAGGAAAAAUGGAAUCUAUAAACUGCUCUUAUUGAGUAAUUAAACACCUAUUAUUGUCAUGAGUAGUGAAAAAAUGAAUUGGGUAAGAUAAAUUUUCGCAAGAAAACACUGCAGUGAUUAAUACCUCCCCGUGUAUUAAAUAAAAAUGACUGCCUUUUGUGCAGGACUGCUGGCAGAAGAACAGGAAUGAGAGAAGUAGUUGCCAGUACCACAAUAACAGGCUAACCUUGAACUGAACUCCUUUCCUCAAGAAAUUAAAUGCUAUAGCAGGACGUUAAAUCCCUCCACUUAGAGCUCAUUUGUGUUCCACGUAACCUGCAGUUCCUGAAGGGGAGAAAAAACUCAUUAUCUUCAAAAGGAGAAUCCUUUUAUAAUUUCUUUACAAAUGUGCAUAUUGUUUCUCCAAAAAAGUAUUUCACAUUAGAAGGAUAUGGGUAUUAACAGCAUAAGCAAGUGGGGGUGGGGGAGAGAGAAAAAGAAAAAGACUUGCAUCAUUAAGAUACCCUUUCUGCUUCUUGGACAUUCAAAUAGUAACUGAACAGUGUUAUAGGGAGAAAUGGGAUGUGAAUGGGGGUUAAAGAAAAUGUACCUUUACAGCAAAAUUUUAAUCUGUCAGAGUGAUGUUAAAAUGCCCAGAUCUCUCCAUUGCUACAUGCCUGUAUUCUGUGCGCACACACACGGCCCCUCCCCCACAUUCAUCCUGAUGGCUGCCUUUACAUCCCUAUUUUUCUUUUCACUUUCAACGACACACUAGGAACAACUAUCAAGUACAAAAGAUGAAUCUAGGGAUGUGACACUUGUAAAGGGUAACCCUAUUUCACAAGUGCA